CACGUAGGGCGCAAGCGUUGUCCGGAAUUAUUGGGCGUAAAGAGCUCGUAGGCGGUCUGUUACGUCUGCUGUGAAAACCCUGGGCUUAACCCUGGGCUUGCAGUGGAUACGGGCAGACUAGAGGCAGGUAGGGGAGAAUGGAAUUCCCGGUGUAGCGGUGAAAUGCGCAGAUAUCAGGAGGAACACCGGUGGCGAAGGCGGGUCUCUGGGCCGUAACUGACGCUGAGGAGCGAAAGCGUGGGGAGCGAACAGG
rnacentral:rRNA from 1 species